rnacentral:rRNA from 1 species
UCCCUAAGGCGAGGCUGAAAAGCGUAGUCGAUGGGAAACAGGUUAAUAUUCCUGUACUUCUGGUUACUGCGAUGGAGGGACGGAGAAGGCUAGGCCAGCUUGGCGUUGGUUGU